rnacentral:rRNA from 1 species
UACGUAGGGUGCAAGCGUUGUCCGGAAUUAUUGGGCGUAAAGAGCUCGUAGGCGGUUUGUCGCGUCUGCUGUGAAAACCCGAGGCUCAACCUCGGGCCUGCAGUGGGUACGGGCAGACUAGAGUGCGGUAGGGGAGAUUGGAAUUCCCGGUGUAGCGGUGGAAUGCGUAGAGAUCGGGAAGAACAUCAGUGGCGAAGGCGGUCUGCUGGGCCGUUGCUGACGCUGAGGCGCGACAGCGUGGGGGAGCAAACAGG